rnacentral:lncRNA from 1 species
UAACAGUAACAGACUGGACAAAAAUGGACCAACAAAAAAAGACCAUUUUUUUUUUAACCCUGCUCUAAAACCUUCCACAACCGUUCUACUCUUCUCCUCCUCCUCUUCUUCUUAUGGCCUUUAAGCCAUGCCUUCAAGCUUUUGGUGCAGAAUUUCCAAGUUUAUUUUCUUUUAACUUUCCUAGUUAAAAUACUUCUUUCCCACUUCAAGUUUUUCUAUUUUCUUCUGGUGAUUUUAGUUGGCCAGCAAGCUAAAAUUUGCCUCUUGUUGGACACCAGCUACUGCAGGUUUGACUUAUUUCUCUCUCUGUUUUUAUACAAACACUUGAUUUUAUUUCUAAAAUUGGGUCUAUUUAAGCUCAAAAUGCUACCUAUAACAUUUCUUUUCUAAUGAUUACAGCUUAGUGUGGAGAUUUGUCAGAUGGGGUUCUUGUAUGUUUAGAAAUUUUGAUUAUUUUUACUUAGUGAUAAUCAAAGGGGAUUUUUUAGUACUAGAAUCUUGACUGCAAUUGUAAUUUGUGUACAACCAGCUGGAGUUUCUGCUUCUAUGUAUUAUCGUACACUAGGCUCUUGCAAAAUGUGGAUAUUUGACCUUUCAUUAUUGAUAAUGCAUUUUUCAACUCUUAGAUUGAAGCUGAAGAUUAUCUUUGGUUUGCCAUUUGGUAAAUCCAUGCUAAUCUCAUCUCAUGAUGAGAAAUAACUUUAGGACUUCAUUAACAGGAGGCAAAUUCGUCAUAAAUCACGUAUAGCAUCUAGGUAGACAGGUUGCAGGAUUAUCAG